rnacentral:rRNA from 1 species
CACCGGCGGCUCGAGUGGUGGCCACUUUUAUUGGGUCUAAAGCGUCCGUAGCCGGCUUGGCAAGUCCCCUGGGAAAUCUGGCGGCUUAACCGUCAGGCGUCCAGAGGAUACUGCCAGGCUUGGGACCGGGAGAGGUGAGAGGUACCUCAGGGGUAGGGGUGAAAUCGUGUGAUCCCUGAGGGACCACCAGUGGCGAAGGCGUCCAGCUGGAACGAACCUGACGGUGAGGGACGAAAGCCAGGGGCGCGAACCGG